UAUUGGUGAUGUGGACAAUCUCAAAGAAGAGCCUUAAAGCACUCCUAAGUAUGAUAGAGGUUUUCAUCUGUCCUCUGUUUGAAGCUAACUAUCUCACAACAAAGU
rfam:Capsicum annuum cultivar Zunla-1 chromosome 1, whole genome shotgun sequence